rnacentral:rRNA from 1 species
UUAAAGGUUUCUGCCUGCCCGGUGACUUAAAGUUUAACGGCUGCAGUAUUACUGACUGUGCAAAGGUAGCAUAAUCAUUUGCCUAUUAAUUGUAGGCUAGUAUCAACGGCUAGACGAUAGAAGCUCUGUCUCUCUUUAUAGUAAUUUGAAAUUGACUUUGUGGUGAAGAGGCCAUAAUUUAUUAGUGGGACGAGAAGACCCUAUAGAGCUUUACUUUGAAAGUAAUUAUUAAGAUUUAUUACUAAAAAGUUUAGUUGGGGCAACUUUCUUUUAUGUAAAACAAAGAAUAAAUAAUAAAGAAUCUAAUCUUGAUGAUCUAAAAAAUUUUGAUUAAAGGAAAAAGUUACCUUAGGGAUAACAGCGUAAUUCUUCUUGAGAGUACUUAUUGACAGAAGAGCUUGCGACCUCGAUGUUGGAUCAGAAUACCCUAAAUGUGCAGCAGCCUUUAAAGGGGAGGUUUG